GAGUUUGAUCAUGGCUCAGGACGAACGCUGGCGGCGUGCUUAACACAUGCAAGUCGAGCGGUAAGGCCUUUCGGGUACGACGAGCGGCGAACGGGUGAGUAACACGUGGGUGAUCUGCCCUGCACUUCGGGAUAAGCCUGGGAAACUGGGUCUAAUACCGGAUAUGACCUCCUAUCGCAUGGUGGGUGGUGGAAAGAUUUAUCGGUGCAGGAUGGGCCCGCGGCCUAUCAGCUUGUUGGUGGGGUAAUGGCCUACCAAGGCGACGACGGGUAGCCGACCUGAGAGGGUGACCGGCCACACUGGGACUGAGACACGGCCCAGACUCCUACGGGAGGCAGCAGUGGGGAAUAUUGCACAAUGGGCGAAAGCCUGAUGCAGCGACGCCGCGUGAGGGAUGACGGCCUCGGUUGUAACGUACUUCUAGCAGG
rnacentral:rRNA from 1 species